rnacentral:rRNA from 1 species
AUUGAACGCUGGCGGCAGGCUUAACACAUGCAAGUCGAGCGGGGUGAUGGUGCUUGCACUAUCACUUAGCGGCGGACGGGUGAGUAAUGCUUAGGAAUCUGCCUAUUAGUGGGGGACAACAUCUCGAAAGGGAUGCUAAUACCGCAUACGUCCUACGGGAGAAAGCAGGGGAUCACUUGUGACCUUGCGCUAAUAGAUGAGCCUAAGUCGGAUUAGCUAGUUGGUGGGGUAAAGGCCUACCAAGGCGACGAUCUGUAGCGGGUCUGAGAGGAUGAUCCGCCACACUGGGACUGAGACACGGCCCAGACUCCUACGGGAGGCAGCAGUGGUGAAUAUUGGACAAUGGGGGGAACCCUGAUCCAGCCAUGCCGCGUGUGUGAAGAAGGCCUUAUGGUUGUAAAGCACUUUAAGCGAGGAGGAGGCUCUUUUGGUUAAUACCCAAGAUGAGUGGACGUUACUCGCAAAAUAAGCACCGGCUAACUCUGUGCCAGCCGCCGCGGUAA